rnacentral:rRNA from 1 species
GAUGAACGCUGGCGGCGUGCCUAAUACAUGCAAGUCGAGCGAACAGACGAGGAGCUUGCUCCUCUGACGUUAGCGGCGGACGGGUGAGUAACACGUGGAUAACCUACCUAUAAGACUGGGAUAACUUCGGGAAACCGGAGCUAAUACCGGAUAAUAUAUUGAACCGCAUGGUUCAAUAGUGAAAGACGGUUUUGCUGUCACUUAUAGAUGGAUCCGCGCCGCAUUAGCUAGUUGGUAAGGUAACGGCUUACCAAGGCAACGAUGCGUAGCCGACCGGAGAGGGUGAUCGGCCACACUGGAGCUGGGCCACGGUCCAGACUCCUACGGGAGGCAGCAGUAGGGAAUCUGCCGCAAUGGGCGAAAGCCUGACGGAGCAACGCCGCGUGAGUGAUGAAGGUCUUCGGAUCGUAAAACUCUGUUAUUAGUGAAGAACAAAUGUGUCAGUAACUAUGCACGUCUUGACGGUACCUAAUCAGAAAGCCACGGCUAACUACGUG